UCAUAGCGACUUUUGGGAUAGUUUGCUAUCGACAAAGGGAGACAAAGUCAAGGGGUGAAGGGAAAGGAGGGCCAAGUAGAGCCUCCACGACCCUCGGCUUCCUCCUCACCAGCUCCCCCUCCCUCCAAGUCCAGUAAGAAGUUGGGCCAAGCUGGAAGGGAUUGACCGGGUUGCUUGUCUGGAGAUGGAGCCACUACAGGCGGGCCUGGGCGCCUGGAGUCGGGCAUGAAAGAAAAUAGCGCCUCAUCGCUCUUAUCUAAGCCCAGAGGUAGACUUCGCUUGAAAAGAUCGAGAAUGGAGGAGGGGAUCGGCACUCACUUGCAGACAUCAACAGUUUCCAGAAAAUUCGGUUCAAUUCCUUCACCACGGACCCACCAACCAAGGAGCUGGCAAAACCCACUAACCAACCAGGAGAACACAGACCCGCCGUUUCCUCUCCCUCGCCGGCCUCGGCGGAGAUUCCAGGCCCUAUAGAAACCAGGACGUCCCUUAGCGCCACCGCCUCACAUGCCAGUGCUGCCGGGAACCCAGCGAUAUCCGCACCAGCGGAGAAGGUUCCAGGCUGCCGGCGGCGGCGCAGAGAGCGGGAAGAGAGGCUCGGAGGAAGCCCCGGGCGUGGCGUGGUCAGGCUCCGAGAGCGGCCGGGAUGCGGCCACACCGGCCUGGUAAACUCGCACCUCUUAGGAUCUUGCUCCCGGACUCAUUCCCUUCCCCACCCCCUAUUUUAAAGUUUUAUUUGGGUCGUCUGUAUCAAUUUAGAACGAGAUAAAUUAAGACAAAGAAAGUAAAAUAAAUCGAAAUAAAAUAUAGGAAUAGCUCUUGGCGAAA
rnacentral:lncRNA from 1 species